GCAGUCGAACGGUAACAUAAAGAAGCUUGCUUCUUUGAUGACGAGUGGCGUACGGGUGAGUAAUGCUUGGGAAUCUAGCUUAUGGAGGGGGAUAACUACGGGAAACUGUAGCUAAUACCGCGUAAUAUCGAAAGAUUAAAGUGUGGGACCUUCGGGCCACAUGCCAUAGGAUGAGCCCAAGUGGGAUUAGGUAGUUGGUGAGGUAAAAGCUCACCAAGCCGACGAUCUCUAGCUGGUCUGAGAGGAUGACCAGCCACACUGGGACUGAGACACGGCCCAGACUCCUACGGGAGGCAGCAGUGGGGAAUAUUGCGCAAUGGGGGCAACCCUGACGCAGCCAUGCCGCGUGAAUGAAGAAGGCCUUCGGGUUGUAAAGUUCUUUCGGUAGCGAGGAAGGCAUUUAGUUUAAUAGACUAAGUGAUUGACGUUAACUACAGAAGAAGCACCGGCUAACUCCGUGCCAGCAGCCGCGGUAAUACGGAGGGUGCGAGCGUUAAUCGGAAUAACUGGGCGUAAAGGGCACGCAGGCGGACUUUUAAGUGAGGUGUGAAAGCCCCGGGCUUAACCUGGGAAUUGCAUUUCAGACUGGGAGUCUAGAGUACUUUAGGGAGGGGUAGAAUUCCACGUGUAGCGGUGAAAUGCGUAGAGAUGUGGAGGAAUACCGAAGGCGAAGGCAGCCCCUUGGGAAUGUACUGACGCUCAUGUGCGAAAGCGUGNGGAGCAAACAGGAUUAGAUACCCUGGU
rnacentral:rRNA from 1 species